UCAAACUUGGUCAUUUAGAGGAAGUAAAAGUCGUAACAAGGUUUCCGUAGGUGAACCUGCGGAAGGAUCAUUACCAUAGAGGGAAACCCUGCCCCCGGGCGGGGCGCCCCUCGAGCACUGGAGCAAUCCAGCUACCCUGUAUCUUGAGUACCUUACCGUUUCCUCGGCGGGUUCGCCCGCCAGUGAGGACCCCCUAAAAACCUUUGCAAUAAGCAGUAUCUGUCAGUAUUAAUGAAAAUUAAUCACAACUUUCAACAAUGGAUCUCUUGGCUCUGGCAUCGAUGAAGAACGCAGC
rnacentral:misc_RNA from 1 species